UAUAGAUGGAUCCGCGCUGCAUUAGCUAGUUGGUAAGGUAACGGCUUACCAAGGCAACGAUGCAUAGCCGACCUGAGAGGGUGAUCGGCCACACUGGAACUGAGACACGGUCCAGACUCCUACGGGAGGCAGCAGUAGGGAAUCUUCCGCAAUGGGCGAAAGCCUGACGGAGCAACGCCGCGUGAGUGAUGAAGGUCUUCGGAUCGUAAAACUCUGUUAUUAGGGAAGAACAUAUGUGUAAGUAACUGUGCACAUCUUGACGGUACCUAAUCAGAAAGCCACGGCUAACUACGUGCCAGCAGCCGCGGUAAUACGUAGGUGGCAAGCGUUAUCCGGAAUUAUUGGGCGUAAAGCGCGCGUAGGCGGUUUUUUAAGUCUGAUGUGAAAGCCCACGGCUCAACCGUGGAGGGUCAUUGGAAACUGGAAAACUUGAGUGCAGAAGAGGAAAGUGGAAUUCCAUGUGUAGCGGUGAAAUGCGCAGAGAUAUGGAGGAACACCAGUGGCGAAGGCGACUUUCUGGUCUGUAACUGACGCUGAUGUGCGAAAGCGUGGGGAUCAAACAGGAUUAGAUACCCUGGUAGUCCACGCCGUAAACGAUGAGUGCUAAGUGUUAGGGGGUUUCCGCCCCUUAGUGCUGCAGCUAACGCAUUAAGCACUCCGCCUGGGGAGUACG
rnacentral:rRNA from 1 species